GCCUUUUCUGAUGCAGCUGUUGCUGGAGUUGCUGUCACAACAGCUAAGACCGUAUUUGGUCUCCACUGUGGAGAGCAAUCUGCCUCCUGCCAGCAGCUCAGCUUUACAGGCAAAGCAGCCCGAGCCCUGUGGGAGCUAGAAGACAUUAGCAGCAAAAGGACAGCAACCGUGUGGACUCCAUCCAUGGUGCAGACAAUUCUUCCAUAGCUUCUAACUCCAGGCCAUACCCAGGAAGGGGCCUGGCAGAGCCUGUAGCCGACCUCUGCUCUGGCCAACACUAAUCCGACACCUCUGAGAGGAGCACCUGGACAGUGUCAGAAAUACUAUCCCCAGGUCUCCAGAUGUGGGAGAUGAACAUCAAUAAGGGGUGACUAUCAAACAUGGAUACUAGAAAGAGAGAAGCCACUCACCCCAAAACCCUAAGCACUGCAUAUGAGAUUACAAAACAA
rnacentral:lncRNA from 1 species